rnacentral:rRNA from 1 species
UGGGGAAUCUUGCGCAAUGGGCGAAAGCCUGACGCAGCGACGCCGCGUGGGUGAUGAAGGCCUUCGGGUUGUAAAGCCCUGUGGGGAGGGACGAACAAGUGCCGACCUAAUACGUCGGUGCCUUGACGGUACCUCCUUAGCAAGCACCGGCUAACUCUGUGCCAGCAGCCGCGGUAAGACAGAGGGUGCAAACGUUGCUCGGAAUUACUGGGCGUAAAGCGCGUGUAGGUGGCUUGUUAAGUCGGGUGUGAAAGCCCUCGGCUCAACCGAGGAAGUGCAUUCGAUACUGGCAAGCUCGAGUACCGGAGAGGGUCGUGGAAUUCCUGGUGUAGAGGUGAAAUUCGUAGAUAUCAGGAGGAACACCGGCGGCGAAGGCGGCGACCUGGACGAGUACUGACACUCAGACGCGAAAGCGUGGGGAGCAAACAG